AAAUCAACCGAGAUGUCGUUAGUAGAGGCGAUCGAACACGACAGAGUUCAAACUGAAUCCCCUCACGGGGAGAUGUGGUGUAGUAAGCCUACCGUCCGGAUAUCAAGGUCAAACGGAAGUCCUCUGGAACGUGGCACCAAAGAGGGUGAUAGUCCCGUACGUAUAAGCCGAGAUAUCCUGGUAGAGUCUUGAGUACCGCGGGUCGGAAUUCUCGCGGGAAUCUGGGGGUCAUCAACCUCCAAAGCUAAAUACUACUCGAAACCGAUAGCGUAUUAGUAGCGUGAGCGAAGGCUGAAAAGUAACCCUUGAAAGGUGGUUAAAAGCGCCUGAAACUGAUAGGUGAUGGUGAGUUACGGCGCGAAAGGAUCUUCCACGUGAAGGAACCCGUCGCGAGGCGGUAGUACGGGCGUGGUUGCCGGUGUCGUAACGUACGUUUUGAAGAACGGGCCAGAGAGUUUAUUCUGCAGGCGAAGGUUAACCCAAAAGGGGAGCCGAAGGGAAACCAACAUGUCCGUAGCGCUUGCAUGGGACGACGUAUUAAAAGUGCGUGGAGUCUGCAGGAUAAGACCCGAAGCCUAGCGAUCUAUGCGUGGGCAGGUUGAAGCGUGCCGAAAGGCGCGUGGAGGACCGCAAGCGGUUUUGAUAUGCAAAUCAUUCGCGUGACCUGCGUAUAGGAGUGAAAGAUUAAUCGAGCUGGGCAUCUGCUGGUUCCUCUCGAAACAUGCCGUAGCAUGACCUGGCCGGAGAUAGACGGUGAGGUAGAGCACUGAUUGGGGGAGCUGGGGGAGAAAUCCCUCACCCUCCUGUCAAACUCCAAAUUCCCCGUCGUCGAAGAUGGCUGGCAGUCCGGACUACGGGGUAAGCUUGUAGUCCGUAAGGGAGACAACCCAGACCGUGGUUAAUGUCCCUCAAUGUAGGCUAAGUGUCAACACUGAAAGGCGUCCCAGGCCAAAGACAACUGGAAGGUGAGCUCAGAAGCAGCUAUCCUUUAAAAAGUGCGUAACAGCUUACCAGUCGAGGUUUGGGGCACUGAAAAUGGACGGGGCUAAAGCCUACUACAGAUACCACGGACCACACGUUUGUGUGAUGGCGUAGAGAGGCGUGCUGCUUGGGUCGAAGCAGGGGCGUGAGCUCCUGUGGACCGGGUAGUAAUGAGAAUUCUGGCAUUAGUAGAAGCAAAGUUGGGUGAGAAUCCCAACCGCCGGAGGGGCUAGGUUUCCUCGGCAAUGUUCGUCAGCCGAGGGUUAGUCGGUCCUAAGGUGUGUCGUAAUUCGAGCACAUCGAAAGGGAAACAGGUUAAUAUUCCUGUACCAUUCAUCCGCAGCGGUUUACCGCCCUGACGCUUCGGGAUAUGCCCGGCAGGGCCGUCGCCCUGUCCAAGCGAUCAAACUCGUGGAGUACCGUAAUGGUGAGAAGCGGGUGAAGGCGUGAUGGAGCAAUCAGGCAAAUUCCUGGAGCCCGUGAAAAGGGGGAUGAAUGACCGUACCGAGAUCUGACACAGGUGCCCCUAGCUGAAGAGGCUAAGGCGUGUCGGUUUAAUCGUGUUAAGGGAACUCGGCAAAUUGGCCCCGUAACUUUGGGAUAAGGGGUGCCUGCCUGGCGAUCAGGCAGGUCGCAGUGACCAGGGGGCUCUGACUGUCUAAUAACAACAUAGGUGACUGCAACUCGGAAACGAUUAGUAUAGUCACUGAUUCCUGCCCAGUGCGAGUAUCUGAAUACCGGGUUCAACCGGACGAAGGACUCGUAAACGGCGGGGGUAACUAUGACCCUCUUAAGGUAGCGUAGUACCUUGUCGCUUAAUUGGCGACUUGCAUGAAUGGAUUAACGAGAGCCCUACUGUCCCUAACACGAAACCGUUGAACAUUUUAUCCUAGUGCAGAGACUAGGGACUCCAGAUGGGAAGUGAAGACCCCGUGGAGCUUUACUGCAGCCUGUCGCUGUGUUACGGUAUUCCUUGCGCAGCGUAGAUGGGAGGCGUCGAACCAUCCCCUCCGGGGGGUGGGGAGCCACCAAUGAGACACCAUCCUUGGUUUACUGUAACACUAACUCAAACUUGAGGACAACGGUAGGUAGGCAGUUUGGGUGGGGCGCCACACCCUCGAAAAAAUAUCAAGGGUGC
rnacentral:rRNA from 1 species